rnacentral:rRNA from 1 species
UACGAAGGGUGCAAGCGUUACUCGGAAUUACUGGGCGUAAAGCGUGCGUAGGCGGUGGUUUAAGUCUGAUGUGAAAUCCCCGGGCUCAACCUGGGAAUGGCAUUGGAUACUGGACCGCUAGAGUACGGUAGAGGGUGGUGGAAUUCCCGGUGUAGCAGUGAAAUGCGUAGAGAUCGGGAGGAACAUCUGUGGCGAAGGCGGCCACCUGGACCAGUACUGACGCUGAGGCACGAAAGCGUGGGGAGCAAACAG